GCAGGCAGGGGAGGCAGGCCUGCAGUUGCUAAACUUUGCUCCUUCCCCGCGUUCUUGGAUAAUAUUUGUGGGGAGGCACUCCAAGCCAGACCUGCUGGAUUUCCUGCUCGUAGGCCUGUGCAGCCCAGGAAACUGUUCAGAAAAGUAGGAGGUAGGAUCCUAUUUGUACCCUGAGUGUGUGGAGCAGUUUCUACCAGGUAAACCUUCCAUCCCUGUUUUUUAGGGGAUCAAGAUAGACUGCAAGGCAAGAUGCUUGCAUUUAGUCUCAGAUGAAAAGAACAGUGGACUCCCGGGCCCUCAUCCUCCUUGUCAAGUCUCAAUUCCUCAGAUGGGCUUCAGUUCUCUCUUUAACUAAUGCUGUGCACCUGUCCAGCCUUUUCAUCUACAGAGUUCUGUCUCUGCUCCAUCCAGACCCAUCUCCUCCUUAUCCCCAGGGGCUGUGCUAGAAGUGGAUGUAAGGGGCAGAGUGUGUCUUGUUGCUUGCAUCCAAAACCUGCUGAGACCCAGGCCCUCCUCGUAGCAAAUGCCAUUCGGUCUCUUACAGAUGCCCAGGUGUGGUGACGGGCCAGCCAUGGGUUCCCCCAGUGCCUGCUGUGGAGCUUGGUCACUUGCAUCCUCCGGGUAACAAUGAUAUUUAUUAUGCCUUUUGUACCCGAUGUUUGGGGAUUUCCAUGUGGUGGACAGGUGAGCUUUGCUCUCCCAGCUGCCAACUGGCUGUAGUGCACAUGUUUUGCAGGUGGUAUUGCUUCGUGGUGGGUCCACACUAUGAGCUUAUCAGGCAAUGUGCUCAAAGGAAAGGAAGGCCUUGCGAAGUAUGUGGCACAGGGCCUCCAAAGAAGUGAUUAUUAAAAUGAUGGCGAGAGGAUGGGGUCCCAAGCCUACCUGGCUGAGGUCCUUAUAAGAAGAGAAGACACCAGAGAAGGACACACACAGAGGAAAGGCUGCGUGAGAGCAGCAAGAAGAUGGUUUUGUGUGAGCCAAGAAGGGGGCCUCGGGAGAACCAAACUUGCCAACACCUUGCUCUUGUACUUCCAGCCUCCAGAACUAUGAGAAAUAAAUGUCUGUUUUCUUA